AAAGGCGAAAAGAACCCCGGCGAGGGGAGUGAAAAAGAACCUGAAACCGUGUACGUACAAGCAGUGGGAGCACAGGUUUACCUGUGUGACUGCGUACCUUUUGUAUAAUGGGUCAGCGACUUAUAUUCUGUAGCAAGGUUAACCGAAUAGGGGAGCCGGAGGGAAACCGAGUCUUAAUUGGGCGUUAAGUUGCAGGGUAUAGACCCGAAACCCGGUGAUCUAGCCAUGGGCAGGUUGAAGGUUGGGUAACACUAACUGGAGGACCGAACCGACUAAUGUUGAAAAAUUAGCGGAUGACCUGUGGCUGGGGGUGAAAGGCCAAUCAAACCGGGAGAUAGCUGGUUCUCCCCGAAAGCUAUUUAGGUAGCGCCUCGUGAAUUCAUCUCCGGGGGUAGAGCACUGUUUCGGCUAGGGGGCCAUCCCGGCUUACCAACCCGAUGCAAACUGCGAAUACCGGAGAAUGUUAUCACGGGAGACACACGGCGGGUGCUAACGUCCGUCGUGAAGAGGGAAACAACCCAGACCGCCAGCUAAGGUCCCAAAGUCAUGGUUAAGUGGGAAACGAUGUGGGAAGGCCCAGACAGCCAGGAUGUUGGCUUAGAAGCAGCCAUCAUUUAAAGAAAGCGUAAUAGCUCACUGGUCGAGUCGGCCUGCGCGGAAGAUGUAACGGGGCUAAACCAU
rnacentral:rRNA from 2 species